UACGAAGGGGGCUAGCGUUGCUCGGAAUCACUGGGCGUAAAGGGUGCGUAGGCGGGUCUUUAAGUCAGGGGUGAAAUCCUGGAGCUCAACUCCAGAACUGCCUUUGAUACUGAAGAUCUUGAGUCCGGGAGAGGUGAGUGGAACUGCGAGUGUAGAGGUGAAAUUCGUAGAUAUUCGGAGGAACACCAGUGGCGAAGGCGGCUCACUGGUCCGGUACUGACGCUGAGGUGCGAAAGCGUGGGGAGCAAACAGGG
rnacentral:rRNA from 1 species